AAGGACUAAUAAAAAACAAGAGAGCACCAGCUAUAUGCUAGAGGCAAACAGUCCUGAUGUGUGCAGCAUUUUGUGCAAUACAUGUGCUCCAGAUGAAACCCAAAGGCUGCCUUCAGAGUGGGAUCAUACUGUUACUUCCAGUGUGGGCCAUAGGGGUGCAGAGGGAGUUCCUGAAAAUAGAGGAAACUGAGUCAGAGUGGACCUGUUUCUUGCUCCCACUAUGUUCACCUAACUUACUUCACUGA
rnacentral:lncRNA from 1 species